GGCUCAGGAUGAACGCUAGCGGGAGGCUUAACACAUGCAAGUCGAAGGGCAGCACGUCUUCGGAUGGUGGCGACUGGCGAACGGGUGCGUAACGCGUAUGCAACCUACCCUCAACAGGGGAAUAGCCCAGAGAAAUUUGGAUUAAUACCCCAUAGUAUUACAGAUUCGCAUGUUUCUGUGAUUAAAGUUCCAACGGUUGAGGAUGGGCAUGCGUGACAUUAGCUUGUUGGUGAGGUAACGGCUCACCAAGGCAACGAUGUCUAGGGGUUCUGAGAGGAUGAUCCCCCACACUGGUACUGAGACACGGACCAGACUCCUACGGGAGGCAGCAGUGAGGAAUAUUGGACAAUGGAGGCAACUCUGAUCCAGCCAUCCCGCGUGCAGGAAGAAGGCCCUAUGGGUUGUAAACUGCUUUUAUACAGGAAUAAACCCCUCUACGUGUAGAGGGCUGAAGGUACUGUAAGAAUAAGCACCGGCUAACUCCGUG
rnacentral:rRNA from 1 species